UACAGGGGGGGCAAGCGUUGUUCGGAAUUACUGGGCGUAAAGGGCUCGUAGGCGGCCGGCUAAGUCCGACGUGAAAUCCCCAGGCUUAACCUGGGAACUGCGUCGGAUACUGGCGGGCUUGAAUCCGGGAGAGGGAUGCGGAAUUCCAGGUGUAGCGGUGAAAUGCGUAGAUAUCUGGAGGAACACCGGUGGCGAAGGCGGCAUCCUGGACCAACACUGACGCUGAGGAGCGAAAGCCAGGGGAGCAAACGGG
rnacentral:rRNA from 1 species